CGCUGGCGGCGUGCCUAAUACAUGCAAGUAGAACGCUGAAGAGAGGAGCUUGCUCUUCUUGGAUGAGUUGCGAACGGGUGAGUAACGCGUAGGUAACCUGCCUUGUAGCGGGGGAUAACUAUUGGAAACGAUAGCUAAUACCGCAUAACAAUGGAUGACACAUGUCAUUUAUUUGAAAGGGGCAAUUGCUCCACUACAAGAUGGACCUGCGUUGUAUUAGCUAGUAGGUGAGGUAAUGGCUCACCUAGGCGACGAUACAUAGCCGACCUGAGAGGGUGAUCGGCCACACUGGGACUGAGACACGGCCCAGACUCCUACGGGAGGCAGCAGUAGGGAAUCUUCGGCAAUGGGGGCAACCCUGACCGAGCAACGCCGCGUGAGUGAAGAAGGUUUUCGGAUCGUAAAGCUCUGUUGUAAGUCAAGAACGGGUGUGAGAGUGGAAAGUUCACACUGUGACGGUAGCUUACCAGAAAGGGACGGCUAACUACGUGCCAGCAGCCGCGGUAAUACGUAGGUCCCGAGCGUUGUCCGGAUUUAUUGGGCGUAAAGCGAGCGCAGGCGGUUUGAUAAGUCUGAAGUUAAAGGCUGUGGCUCAACCAUAGUUCGCUUUGGAAACUGUCAAACUUGAGUGCAGAAGGGGAGAGUGGAAUUCCAUGUGUAGCGGUGAAAUGCGUAGAUAUAUGGAGGAACACCGGUGGCGAAAGCGGCUCUCUGGUCUGUAACUGACGCUGGGGCUCGAAAGCGUGGGGAGCGAACAGGAUUAGAUACCCUGGUAGUCCACGCCGUAAACGAUGAGUGCUAGGUGUUGGAUCCUUUCCGGGAUUCAGUGCCGCAGCUAACGCAUUAAGCACUCCGCCUGGGGAGUACGACCGCAAGGUUGAAACUCAAAGGAAUUGACGGGGGCCCGCACAAGCGGUGGAGCAUGUGGUUUAAUUCGAAGCAACGCGAAGAACCUUACCAGGUCUUGACAUCCCGAUGCUAUUUCUAGAGAUAGAAAGUUACUUCGGUACAUCGGUGACAGGUGGUGCAUGGUUGUCGUCAGCUCGUGUCGUGAGAUGUUGGGUUAAGUCCCGCAACGAGCGCAACCCCUAUUGUUAGUUGCCAUCAUUCAGUUGGGCACUCUAGCGAGACUGCCGGUAAUAAACCGGAGGAAGGUGGGGAUGACGUCAAAUCAUCAUGCCCCUUAUGACCUGGGCUACACACGUGCUACAAUGGUUGGUACAACGAGUUGCGAGUCGGUGACGGCGAGCUAAUCUCUUAAAGCCAAUCUCAGUUCGGAUUGUAGGCUGCAACUCGCCUACAUGAAGUCGGAAUCGCUAGUAAUCGCGGAUCAGCACGCCGCGGUGAAUACGUUCCCGGGCCUUGUACACACCGCCCGUCACACCACGAGAGUUUGUAACACCCGAAGUCGGUGAGGUAACCUUUUGGAGCCAGCCGCCUAAGGUGGGACAGAUGAUUGGGG
rnacentral:rRNA from 1 species